UCCAGCACUCAGGCUGGGAUUCUGGAAGGCACAAAGGAAGGCCAGCAAAGCGGUGGGAGACCAUCGUGACUGGAAGUCCUCCGGCCUGGGGGUCAGGGGACGUGGGCUCGGACAGACAGCUGAAAAACAGCUUCCUGGAAACUCCUAGGGCUUCUCAGUAAUGCAUCAGGAAGCAGGUGGCAUUUGGAGACCUUUCACUACUCGGUGGAUUUUUUACAACCUGUUUCUGAUUGACUGAAGGACUAAUACAGGCACGUGGUAAGAACUUCCAACAAGACAGAAAGGGUCACAGAGCCAGAGCUGCAACCUCCUCCUGCCAGCCGAGAGUCUCCUUAGAGGCAGCCACUGUUACCAUUUUUUUUGGUGCAUCUUCCUGAUCGAGUCCAAGAGCAUGUGUGGGUCUGCGUGUGACACAUUUUCUCCAACACAUGAAUGGGAACACGAGGAAAUUCCUGAAGAACGACUCGCCAUCUAGAGCCUGACUUUGUCAUCUGCCAAAUGACCAACCUGGAUGGGUCCUUCCUGACUUUACAGAGUCCAAACGAUGAACCCGCCUGCCACGAGCCAUGGGCAACCCGCUUGAGAAGCUAACCUGCAGGCUGCUCUGACUCCACGCUGGGGCGCUCUCAAGUCUGCUGGAGUGCACUAGCGAGUAACUAGUAACUAGUAAACUAAUCUUUUCUGAGCAAUCCCCAGGGCCAGGCGCCAGGCCCAGCAACUUACGGGUACCAUCUCAUCCAACCUUCACCACCACCUCAAGAGAUGAGGAAACUGAGACUCAAGAAGGUAACUUCCCCGAGGAGAUCUGAGACUUCUGAAGGUGCAGGCAGACAUCAAACUGAUGCCGUUUUCCAGCUGAAGAAACAGGAAGGGAGAAGUUAAGUUCCCUGCACAGUAAACUAAGUAACAGAAUGAAUCAAAGGCAAAAGUGAAUCUGCGGCCCCCCCACCGCCGCCCCGAUUCCAGGAACUGUGCUCUUCAACAUCACACCAACAGCAUUUCUUUUCAGAUUAUCAUUGAUGGUCAGCAGUCCUUGGCCAAAGACGGCCCUUCUGAUGUUGAGAGUCUAUGAGCACAGGAAAACCCAAAGCAGCCUUGGGUCCUACCACCCUAGCCGGAAACCCUGGCACAUGUAACCAGGCGGACAAGAAUGCUCGCAGCAGCUCUGUUUGUGUUGGGGGAAAAGAAUCUCAAAGGAAAAAAAUUUUGCCAACGACUCACAUGUUGGAGAACGGAUCAAUAGACUGUGGUCGGGACCGGUGUUCUGUCACUUCUGGCUGGAUGGCCCUGGCUAAGUGCGGCCCAGUUGUCUGCACCUCGCACCAAAAGCUCAGGCAACAAGAGAAAAAAUAAAUGGUCGGAUUCGAUCAAAAUUAAAAACCCCUGUGCAUCAGAGGACACUUUUAAGAGAGUGAAAAGACAACUCACAGAAUGCAAGAAAUACUUGAAAAUCAUCUGCCUGAUAAGGGAUUCACAUCCAGAAAAUAUAAAGAACUCCUACAACUCAACAGCGACAAAAACAUUUCUCCAAAGAAGAGCUACAAGGGACCAAUACGCAGAUGAAACGGUGCUCAGCAUCACUUAGUCAUUAGGGAAAAGUAAAUCAAAACCACUAUGAGAUGUCACUUACAUACUUAUUAGGAUGGCUAUUCUAAAACUAAACACAAAAACAGAAACAGAAACAAAAAAACAAAAAAUAUAACAAGUAUGGGUGAGGAUGUGGAGAUCUGGGGACCCGUGUGCUCAGCUGUAGGAAUGGGAGAUGGCGCAGCUGCUGUGGAAACCAGUGUGCACUUUCCUGUCUGUCAAAUGGAGAUCAGAAUCCCCACCUCACAGGUCUGUUGUCCGACAAAGAUGCAAAGAUUGUUUUCAUUCAUUCACUCAACAAACGAACCUCAGCCUGGACAAUGGGGAACACAGAAGACAAUAAAGUGAACAAAAAUCCCCUGAAGCCUUUUUUUCUGUUGGGGGUUAUGGACCGCAGGCAAGAGAGAUGACUCAGACUGGACCUUAGACUCCAGUGAGUGCUAAGCAGGGAAACAAAACAGCUCGGAGGACAGGGACACGUUUUGCUGGGUGAGCGACCCUGAAUGGGGAGAAACUUCACUGGGAAAGUGACGAUGGGAGAGGGGCAGUCUGCCAGAGGUCUCAGAGCUGGGCCGGGUCACAGUGCAGGUGUGGCUCCGUCCAGAGGGACACAAGAACCUACCAGAGGGUUCUGAACAAGACUUACGUGAUCUGACCUAGGUUUUAGCCAGACAAUUCUGCUGCUUGCAGAACUUAAUGAACCACAGAGAGCCACACCCAAGAUCAUGUAUCAUGACCUGACUUCCCCAAGGAAGCACAGAUGGACUUUGCAAGAUUAAAAAAAAUGACGCAAGUCAGGUGCACACUGUGACGUCACGGAGGAAGUGACACUGGGCAUGAAGCUGUUCUGUGCGUGUGCUCACUCCAUCCUCUUAACCACCCUAGGACAGCAGGGCUUUAUUCUCAUUUUACAGAUGAAGAAACCGAGGCACAGAGAUCUGAAGACCAUGCAGCUAUUUAGUGGCAACGCCAAGGUUCCAACCAGACAGUCUGAGGUCAGAGUUUGAGGCGACACAAGCACUCACGCUGUCUGAAGCCUACGGGCCGCUUACAAUAAUGACCAGAGCAAGAGAGGAGAGUGCUGGUCAGUUUCCCUCCCCAUUCGAGCUUCUCUGUCAUUCUGCUCACCAGCAGCUUCCCAAGCCCCCUCCUCUUCACCACCACCAAUUUCUGUGUAUACUUAAAAUGGGUUAAUGACAC